UACGUAGGGUGCAAGCGUUGUCCGGAAUUAUUGGGCGUAAAGAGCUCGUAGGCGGUGUGUCACGUCGGUCGUGAAAACCUGGGGCUUAACUCUGGGCUUGCGGUCGAUACGGGCAUCACUUGAGUUCGGGCAGGGGAGACUGGAAUUCCUGGUGUAGCGGUGAAAUGCGCAGAUAUCAGGAGGAACACCGGUGGCGAAGGCGGGUCUCUGGGCCGAUACUGACGCUGAGGAGCGAAAGCGUGGGGAGCGAACAGG
rnacentral:rRNA from 1 species